rnacentral:rRNA from 1 species
GACGGAGGGUCUAGCGUUGUUCGGAAUCACUGGGCGUAAAGGGCGCGUAGGCGGCCUUGUAAGUCAGGAGUGAAAGCCUGGGGCUUAACCCCAGAAGUGCUCUUGAUACUGCGAGGCUCGAGUCCAUGAGAGGUUAGCGGAAUUCCUAGUGUAGCAGUGAAAUGCGUAGAUAUUAGGAGGAACACCAGUUGCGAAGGCGGCUAACUGGCAUGGUACUGACGCUGAGGCGCGAAAGCGUGGGGAUCAAACAGG